AGCGGCGGACGGGUGAGUAACACGUGGGUAACCUGCCUGUAAGACUGGGAUAACUCCGGGAAACCGGGGCUAAUACCGGAUGCUUGUUUGAACCGCAUGGUUCAAACAUAAAAGGUGGCUUCGGCUACCACUUACAGAUGGACCCGCGGCGCAUUAGCUAGUUGGUGAGGUAACGGCUCACCAAGGCAACGAUGCGUAGCCGACCUGAGAGGGUGAUCGGCCACACUGGGACUGAGACACGGCCCAGACUCCUACGGGAGGCAGCAGUAGGGAAUCUUCCGCAAUGGACGAAAGUCUGACGGAGCAACGCCGCGUGAGUGAUGAAGGUUUUCGGAUCGUAAAGCUCUGUUGUUAGGGAAGAACAAGUACCGUUCGAAUAGGGCGGUACCUUGACGGUACCUAACCAGAAAGCCACGGCUAACUACGUGCCAGCAGCCGCGGUAAUACGUAGGUGGCAAGCGUUGUCCGGAAUUAUUGGGCGUAAAGGGCUCGCAGGCGGUUUCUUAAGUCUGAUGUGAAAGCCCCCGGCUCAACCGGGGAGGGUCAUUGGAAACUGGGGAACUUGAGUGCAGAAGAGGAGAGUGGAAUUCCACGUGUAGCGGUGAAAUGCGUAGAGAUGUGGAGGAACACCAGUGGCGAAGGCGACUCUCUGGUCUGUAACUGACGCUGAGGAGCGAAAGCGUGGGGAGCGAACAGGAUUAGAUACCCUGGUAGUCCACGCCGUAAACGAUGAGUGCUAAGUGUUAGGGGGUUUCCGCCCCUUAGUGCUGCAGCUAACGCAUUAAGC
rnacentral:rRNA from 1 species